UCAAAAUCUACUAAAAAUCAAAUUUUAAUUCCUACCAAAGAGGAAAUUUAUAUUAGAUUUAUCAAAGAGUUCAUAGAGUAAGAAGAGGAACUAGAAUCAAAUGCCUUUCUACUUUCUAAUUAUGUUCUAAGAUUUUGAGAUAUUUUAGUAUGCUUCUAUGCCACGCUGCUCAAAUACUUUUGUUACCAUAAUGUACCCAUGGUCGACAAUAAAUCCAUUACAUGUUUUGACUCUUUGGAAAUGGAAACAACUCAGUGGCUCAUGAUACAAGUCCCUAGUGCUAAGAUGGAACUACAAUUAAAUAGCAACAAGAUUUGUUUUCUAUUGUCACUGUUCAAUUAUCACGCGUAUUAUUACUUCAAAAUGCGCGCUCUUUUCUUCCCAAUUACUUAGAAAACAUUAAAGCAUUCUUAUACUAGCUUGUGCUUAUUUGGAAUAUUAUGUUCAAUACCAAUCCUUGUUUGACUUAAUUGCAGGUCUUAAAAUUUGAUAAUUUACUUGCGAACGAUACUGAUUCAUUGUCCAUUACCCAUACUCAAGUGCAGUUGGCUUCACUGUUUGCUGCACCCUUUACUUUGACAAUCUGCAUAAUUUUUUUAUUAUUUUUAUUAUUAUUAUUUUUCAUUUUCCCUUCAUUUUAUUGGUAACCAAUACAUUAUGUUGCUAAAGAAAUAGCUGUUAUUGAGUGGAGUAGCUUACUUUUUAUUUUUAUUUUUUUGCCAUCAUUAUCUGCCUCGAGAAUGAGGAUGAACUGAUUUUGCAAGCAUAUUGAAAGAUUUGAAUGACUGGCAGGGCUUAUAUCAGUACGGGUAAUUGAGUAUUGUAAAUUUGCUAAAUAUGAAAAUUUUACAUCAUAUAAAAUAUAAUUUAUAAUUGUUACGUCAUAAAUGUUAUUGGUGAAAUCUCCAAGUGCUCUUUCACAUUAUCUGUUACUUUCUAUGUUCUAGUAAUACUAGUCAGCUUCUUGCUUAACAUUCUGUUAUGCAUGAUUUUACAUAGUAUGAGUUUAACUCAGAUGUAAUGUUUCAUUGGAUAUUCAAUAUUUUAUGAGCAAUUGAUUCCAGUGGAAGACGAAAAUUGGUAUUCUUAGACUUGAUUGUCACCAAUACAAAUACCAAUACGAAUACCAACAAAACUAAGAACUUAAAUGAAGUAUUUCACAAGCAAGUAUAUUUGCUAAGAAUAAUGGAAAAUCAUUGAUAUAUAACAGCGAGGAGAUUGCGCCUUACUAUGUUUUAUAUCGACUGAUGAUCUUGGAGGAGAACUCAUUUUAGAUUGCGUUGGUAUGUGUGGAACUGCUGGGAAAAUGUGCACUGCUCCUUGCUGCAAUUUAAUCUCACAGUUCAACUGUGAAACAUUAUUUUAACUGACAUGGAGUGAUUGAGUUAUGCCUUCCACUAUGGAAGUUCUGAUAGAAAGUUGGAGAGUGUGGUACAUGUCUGAAAGUAUGAAGCUUCAGCAGAUGGUUGUCAUAGGAGGAGGUUAGACUUGUUGGCUAUCGAUGGGCAUGUUAGUGAAUGCUACUAAUGGAUACGAGAUCGAUGUGUUGGCAUAGGAGAAUUUUUAAAGGUGUUGUUGACCCCUUUAUAGAGGAUGUAUAUUACCCUCUUUUUCCUGUAUUUUUUGGAUUAAAUAAUCUGUUACUUCUUAUAUGGGUUCUUGGACAAACUUUGUGUCUCACAUUUUUUUGAUCAAAUAAAAUAUGAAUAACAGAGUAACAGUGUCUUGUGAUCUCGUAACCAUUAGUCUUUUUGGCUUUGGAUAUAUUUGAAAUUCUGAUUUCAUCUCCAUUUUCUUUCUAGGAUGAUGGCAAUAAACACUUAGCAUCUUUUUGAUACUCAACAUACUCUACAAGUAAGAUAACAAGUUAUUACCCCCCCAUUCUCUUAAUUGAAAACUCGGCCCAAUCUUUUACUAAAAGGAUUGAGCCGAAUAUAAAGGUUAUGUUGCUUUUUAAUACAUCCUAGGGCCUAGCAAGGAAAUAAUCGUCUUUAAGUCUUCUCCUCUCCAUUAUCUUUGAGAUUUUUUGGAUGAUGGUAGAGGAGAGCAGUGGGAGCUUAGGCUUACAUAAUUGUGCAAUUAGGUGUGGUUUUCCUUUAUUUUCCUUUUAUUAGUCAAGGUUUAAAUGGAAAAAACAACUUGUUGAGUUUUGGUUUUGCUGUCUUUCAUUUUGUUUGUCAUAUAUUCAUAAUUUCAAAUCAAUAUCAAGGCCUAAAAAAACUCAAUUGGACAUGGUCUAAUUGAUUGGCUUAAUGUAUAGGUUGUGUGCUCCAAUUUAAUUUCUGGUUUUAUCUUGUCUCUGCCUAUUCAAAAUUGCAGUAUAUUGGACUAGUAUCAUCACGAGCGAUUUUCAAAACGCCUUUCCAGGAGUUAUUAAUUAUAGAGAACUCCCUUUCUCAGCACAUCCGUCCCAUUUAAAUCAAUGAAUAUCCUUACAGAUCCUUGCUCAGCUUUAACCAUGUUUACAUUCAAGUUUAAGGCUAUCAAAAUGCAUUUUUCAUGUAUUAUUAAUAAUAGGGACCUCCCUUUCUUCUCUCAUCCGGCCCAAUGCAAAUGAAUAUAUAUACGUACAGAUCCUUGCUGAGCUUUAACCAUGUUUACAUUCAAGUUCAAAGCCUAAUUGAACUCUAAUUCCUGUCAAUUUCUAAGUGAUUUUACUGUUGCUACACUUCAUACUCUUGAUGGGUUGAAUUUAACUCCUUGCCGAGUUCUCAAUCGUUGCCAAUUAUAAUCAAACAUUGUGACCCUCUAACCCUCGUCCCACCACUGAAAAUUGAUAAAUUCAAAUUAUGAGUCGACAGUACUUUCUAAAAGGAAAGGUGAUUUUAUUAACAAAUAGAGAUUGUCAGAGUCGACUAAAUAAUGUAUUUCCCAGACAACAUAUUGGAGAAUCUUAGAACAACAGACCAGUGGUACCAGCGGGGAUUAGUGAUAUUAAAGUUCGCUUGGUUAGCUACUUGUUAAAAUUGAGUUUCCUGUUACAUGUAGCAAAUGUUAUUCUGAAGAGAGAACAAUUUAUUGUUGGACUGCCAAUGCUGAGAACCUGAGACUGAUCUUUUUGGAGAUUUGGAAAGGAAUUGAUGUAAUCUCAAGGACUUAAAAAUAUAAAAAGAAAACACUGGUGGGCAGGUCCCACUUAAAUAUUUUGGAAGUUACUAGGUUUUGGAUUGAAUGAGGUUCAUCCCAGUUGACUUUUGACAAAAUAUAUCAUGGAGAAAAGCUAAUUAAGAUAUAACACGUGUCUUAGGAAGUCGAACAUAGAUGCUAACCUAUCGACUGAAACCUCUCGAGCCUGUUCCAAUGAUUAGUCUUGUGCCUUUACUAAUUCUUUGAUUCCAAUUAGUAAGAAGGAUCUUGAACUAAGAAAUAGACCCUAGAAACUAUCUGUUUUACGUCAAGCAACAGGUAGAGUUACCAAAACUAGUAUUCAAGUAAGAAUUUCUCCUGAUUUAUGUUAAUAAGUCAAGUCAAAUACAUUUUAUAUCAUCUUGUAGCUUCUGCUUCUCUCUCACUGUCAAAAUGAUAUAAUGUUUAUUUGUAUAUUCUUGUGGUAAAUUCUUUGAUUUACCAUGCUUAUACAAUAUGUUAUCGAAGCUAUUUCCGUUUACACAAGUUAAUAUUAGUUGAAUUAUACUAUAGCUUCUAAUAAAUGAUUAUACCAUUUAAGGAAUAAUCCUGGAACAAAAUUUCAUGCUAAGAAAGAACUAAUUUUACAGCAUUGCAAAGUCCAGAACUCAGACAAGCACGAUAACUUCCUUUUGAACUAUGAGCGUAAAGUAUUUCUAUUUAUUCUUUUUGCAUUUUGCCUAUUCUAAUGCUUAUAACUCGUAUAAAAUUUAAUGUCAAACUGGAUAAUGUGCAACCUUCACGUGGUACGUGUGCAAGCUGAAAUAGUUUCCAAUGCUUCGUCUUUAUGGCAUAGUUUUGAUAAAGUAUGCUAUUACCAUCUCCAGAAUGUUACUGUUUCCGCUUCUAAUCCAGGAUUGAAGGCUAUGAGUUUGAUUUUGAUUCGUCGCUAGAUACAAUGUGAUUGUCAUCGUCCACUAUUGUAGGUCAGCUUAUUGUCUUUCUCAUUUGAGUCUCAAAAUCAGUACAGUUAAGUCCUUGUUGAGACAACAAUUGUAUCCAUGCUACACGACUCUUAAAGGAAAGUGAGGAUGAGGAGCUAUUGCUGGUAAUGGAAAUCAUGUCUUUCUUGGGGUCCAGGACCAGGUUGUUGAAGAUAUGAUAAAAUCAAGAUUUGACAUCUAAUGAAUUGAGAACCCUGUGUUGGGGCCAUUUAUGAAGGCUGCACUCAAAUGGCAGAGAUUUUUUCAGAAUAGUCAAGUGCAAUUUACCGCUGAAUGGUCCAGCAUUGGAUCUUAUCUCAUCAACUUAUUUCUAAUUUAGGGUAGCAGCAACAGAGCAAAGCGGCCCUUCACAGCACCUGAGGUUAGCAUUUUCCAAUUCUGUCUUUAGCCCCGUCCCGAAAGCUGAGUACAAAAGUAUCCAGAGACAAUGAUCGGCGUUGGAAUUUAGUUUUCUUUUUGGUUUCAUUAUAAAUGUCAAGCGUUUGGUGAAAAGAAUGAAUCUGUCCCACACGUGAGAGAGCGUGUAGCUUCUUAAACGCGAGUUGAUUCAGUAAAGAGACUAUUUUUGGAAGGUCUGAAGAUUAACAGAUUGGGUGCUGUAAGGGGACCAUUUUAUGUGCAUUAGAUACAAAUGGGUCCAAUCUAUUUAUGAGAGUUUGUAAAGUAAGAAUUUUAGAUUAUUAGAUGUUUGUCGCGCAGCGCAAUAGCAGAGCGAGAUUAAAUCUUUA